ensembl:misc_RNA Metazoa_SRP Metazoan signal recognition particle RNA
GCCAGGCAUAGUGGUGCAUGCCUGUAGUCCCAGCUACUCAGGAGGCUGAGAUGGGAGGAUUGCUUGAGCCCAGGAGAUGGAGGCUACAGUGAGCCGAAAUUGCGCCAUUGCACUCUAGCCUGGGCAACAGAGCAAGACCCAUCUCAA